rnacentral:lncRNA from 1 species
AAAAGAUAGUUUGAUCCUCUACUGAUCCUGUAUAGCUAGAUCCUUCCUUAUCUGUUAAAGGGUGGAUUGGUCACUUUGAAGGAGUUAAAGCUUGCAAUACUUCCUUAUCCACCAGGCUAUGACGAUAAUGCUCACUGUGAGUAUCAUAUGGAUGCCCAGGGGCACACAAUGGAGGAUUGCAAUGCAUUGAAACACAGAGUCCAAGACUUGAUUAACUACAAGGCAUUCAUUUUCACAUGCCCAAAUGUUG